AUAAAGAUUUUAAAGCUUUCAGCAAUUUCAUUGUUAAUGAAUAGAAGUUUUUUU
rnacentral:tRNA from 1 species